GGUUUUUUGUGUUUGAUGAAAAAUCUAACCUGCCCGAUGGGGGUUUGAAUGGCCGCAGUAUUUUGACUGUGCUAAGGUAGCAUAAUAAUUAGUUUUGUGAUUUAAGACUGGAAUGAACGGUUGGACGAGGGAAAAGCUGUUUCUAGGGAAUUUAUUGAAUUUGGUGAUGUUGUGAAAAAGCAACUGGGGAAUUGAGGGACGAGAAGACCCUAUUAAGUUUUACAGAAGUUAGAUUUUUCUGUUUUCAUUUUUGGGAAUUUUUAGUGUGAUUUUUGUUUUACUGGGGCGGUAUUGAUGAGAUAAGAUCUUUUGAUAAGGGUUUAUGAAACAUUUGAUCCAAAAUUUUGUUUUGAUAGGUGGAUUAAAUUACUAUAGGGAUAACAGCGUAAUUUUAUUGGAGAGUUCUAAUUGAUAAUAAAGUUUGCGACCUCGAUGUUGAAUUAAAAUGUCUGUUGGGUGAAGGCGCUUAGCAAGAAAGUCUGUUCGACUAUUAAAAUUUUACA
rnacentral:rRNA from 1 species